CCUACGGGUGGCAGCAGUGGGGAAUAUUGCACCAUGGGGGAAACCCUGAUGCAGCGACGCCGCGUGAGCGAUGAAGUAUUUCGGUAUGUAAAGCUCUAUCAGCAGGGAAGAAAAUGACGGUACCUGACUAAGAAGCCCCGGCUAACUACGUGCCAGCAGCCGCGGUAAUACGUAGGGGGCAAGCGUUAACCGGCUUUACUGGGUGUAAAGGGAGCGUAGACGGCUGUGCAAGCCAGAUGUGAACACCCGGGGCUCAACCCCGGGACUGCAUUUGGAACGGUGUGGCUGGAGUGUCGGGGAGGCAGGCGAAAUUCUGAGUGUAGCGGUGAAUGGCGGAGAAAUGAGGAGGAACCCCAUUGGCGAAGGCGGCCUGCUGGACGAUGACUGCCGUUGAGGCUCGAAAGCGUGGGGAGAAAACAGGAUUAGAUACCCCAGUAGCC
rnacentral:rRNA from 1 species